AGCGUAGGCGGAUAUUUAAGUGGGAUGUGAAAUCCUCGGGCUCAACCCGAGUGCUGCAUUCCAAACUGGAUAUCUAGAGUGCAGGAGAGGAAAGGAGAAUUCCUAGUGUAGCGGUGAAAUGCGUAGAGAUUAGGAAGAAUACCAGUGGCGAAGGCGCCUUUCUGGACUGUAACUGACGCUGAGGCUCGAAAGCGUGGGAGGCAAACAG
rnacentral:rRNA from 1 species